rnacentral:rRNA from 1 species
GAUGUCGACUGGUUGUUGGACGGCUUGCUGUUCAGUAACGAAGCUAACGCGUGAAGUUGACCGCCUGGGGAGUACGGCCGGCCAGGUUGACACUCCAAGGAAUUGACGGGGACCCCCGCACAAGCGGUGGAUGAUGUGGUUUCAUUCGAUGCUACGCGAGGAAACCUUACCCUACCCUUGACAUGUCUGGGAUCCCGUAGAGAUUUGGGAGUGCUCGCAAGAGGACCAGUACACAGGUGCUGCAUGGCCGUCGUCAGCUACUGUGUCGUGCAGAUGUCGGGUUAAGUCCCGCGUACGAGCGCUACCCUGUAUCACUUAGCUUGCGUAUCGCAAGGGCACUCUAGAUGUAGACUGUCCGGUGACAUAAUCCGGAGGAAGGUGGGGAUGACGUCAGGUCAUCAUGGCCCUUAUGGGUAUGGGCUACACACGUCAUACAAUGGCCGGUACAGAGGGCGUGCCGAACCCGCGCAGGGGGAGCGUAAUCUCAGUAAUAACCGCGUCGUAGUCCGUGCAUCGCAGUCAUGC